GGGGGGGGUGCUAUACUGCAGUCGAGCGAACAGACGAGGAGCCUUGCUCCUCUGACGUUAGCGGCGGACGGGUGAGUAACACGCCUUGGAUAACCUACCUAUAAGACUGGGAUAUUUUUACUGUCUCUUUUGGGAAACCGGAGCCUUAAAUACCGGAUAACAUGUUGAACCUGCAUGCGUUACAACAGCCUGAAAGACGGUCUUGCUGUCACUUAAUAGAUGGAUUCCGCGAUCCCAGCGGAUGGUAGUUCUUUUAUGAUUGGCCCCCUUAUUAUGGUAACGGCUUACCAAGGCAACGAUGCGUAGCCGACCUGAGAGGGUGAUCGGCCACACUGGAACUGAGACACGGUCCAGACUCCUACGGGAGGCAGCAGUAGGGAAUCUUCCGCAAUGGGCGAAAGCCUGACGGAGCAACGCCGCGUGAGUGAAGAAGGUCUUCGGAUCGUAAAACUCUGUUAUUAGGGAAGAACAAAUGUGUAAGUAACUAUGCACGUCUUGACGGUACCUAAUCAGAAAGCCACGGCUAACUACGUGCCAGCAGCCGCGGUAAUACGUAGGUGGCAAGCGUUAUCCGGAAUUAUUGGGCGUAAAGCGCGCGUAGGCGGUUUUUUAAGUCUGAUGUGAAAGCCCACGGCUCAACCGUGGAGGGUCAUUGGAAACUGGAAAACUUGAGUGCAGAAGAGGAAAGUGGAAUUCCAUGUGUAGCGGUGAAAUGCGCAGAGAUAUGGAGGAACACCAGUGGCGAAGGCGACUUUCUGGUCUGUAACUGACGCUGAUGUGCGAAAGCGUGGGGAUCAAACAGGAUUAGAUACCCUGGUAGUCCACGCCGUAAACGAUGAGUGCUAAGUGUUAGGGGGUUUCCGCCCCUUAGUGCUGCAGCUAACGCAUUAAGCACUCCGCCUGGGGAGUACGACCGCAAGGUUGAAACUCAAAGGAAUUGACGGGGACCCGCACAAGCGGUGGAGCAUGUGGUUUAAUUCGAAGCAACGCGAAGAACCUUACCAAAUCUUGACAUCCUCUGAUCCCUCUAGAGAUAGAGUUUUCCCCUUCGGGGGACAGAGUGACAGGUGGUGCAUGGUUGUCGUCAGCUCGUGUCGUGAGAUGUUGGGUUAAGUCCCGCAACGAGCGCAACCCUUAAGCUUAGUUGCCAUCAUUAAGUUGGGCACUCUAAGUUGACUGCCGGUGACAAACCGGAGGAAGGUGGGGAUGACGUCACACACUGCAUCUAUAUUGGUGCACCCUGUCAUGGGAUUUACGGGCUACACACGUGCGUAAACCAACAUGGACAAUACAAAGGGUAGCGAAACCGCGAGGUCAAGCAAAUCCCAUAAAGUUGUUCUCAGUUCGGAUUGUAGCUCUGCACACGUUUGUCGGACUACAGUGACAGCUGGAAUCGCGUAGUAAUCGUAGAUCAGCAUGCUACGGUGAAUACGUUCCCGGGUCUUGUACACACCGCCCGUCACACCACGAGAGUUUGUAACACCCGAAGCCGGUGGAGUAACCUUUUGGAGCUAGCCGUCGAAGCUACC
rnacentral:rRNA from 1 species